CUGCGCUCGUACCCCGGCCCCGGGCUGCAGCCUCGACCCCCCCAGACCCCGGUCUCUGGCUCCAGGCUCCAUACCCCUGACCCCAGGUACUGACUGUGGGCUCAAGCCUCGAGCCUGGGCCUGAGCCUGAGGUCUAGUUCCGAGCCCUGGGCUCGGUUACAGAUCUGGCCAAUACCCCUGACCCCUGCCCGCAUCCUGGCCUCAGGCUCUCAUCCUGCCUCUGGGGCCGCCCCUGGCCCUUCUGGCUCCUCUGGGUCUCUCUUGAGGGGCCUGGGCCUCCUCCAGAUGGCAUUGGUAACCCCAGACUGUACCACAGCCAUCCACCUGUGACCCCAGCCUCCCUCCCCAGCCUGCUCCAGCUGCCCCCUUCUCCCUCCAGCAGCCACCCUGAAGCACUCCCUCCUGCCUGCCCAUGCCAGCUGCCAGGGUCUCAACGUCUUGGCCAGUGACAGAGCACCUGGGCAGGCAGGGAUGCCAUGGCCAGACUGGCAGCAGUUGAGGGUCUCUCCACGCUAGAGGGUCAGAAAGCACUAUGGAGGGUGUGCUGCUGGUGCUGAGCACCUCUCUGAAUGCCCCACAGCUGCAAUUUUGGACCAAACACCCCUCAGCAGCACAUCCCUGUCAGGUGCUGGCCCAGUGUGAACUGAGCUGGAAAGCUCCUCAGAAACAACCCUGGUGCUGCCUUUUGGGAUGUUGUGGGGGGACAGCGACAGGACAGGACUUGAAGUCCCCCAGCCCGGGGCUGACAGCUGCUCCCCCAGCCACGCUACAGCAACUCCCCAGGGGAGGUGGAAGUGGCUUUCCCAACUUCUCCACGCUCUUUGCUUGGGACAAGGAAGGGGAAACCAGAUCCUAGCAGCAUGACUAGGGUGGAGACAGGCUGGAUGUGGGGACCCCCCUCCUCCUUAAAAUGCUGCUGUGAGCUGGGGUGAGGCACCUCGUAGCUGUUCUUUGCUGGUUUUCCCAUCUGUUGGGUCCUUCCUCACAGCUCCAACCCCAAAUCCACGCUUCCCAUCCAAUAAAUCACCCUGGCACCGCC